AACGAACGCUGGCGGCAGGCCUAACACAUGCAAGUCGAGCGCGCCCUUCGGGGUGAGCGGCGGACGGGUGAGUAACGCGUGGGAACGUGCCCUUCUCUGCGGAAUAGCCUCGGGGAACUGAGAGUAAUACCGCAUACGCCCUUUGGGGGAAAGAUUUAUCGGAGAAGGAUCGGCCCGCGUUGGAUUAGGUAGUUGGUGGGGUAAUGGCCCACCAAGCCGACGAUCCAUAGCUGGUUUGAGAGGAUGAUCAGCCACACUGGGACUGAGACACGGCCCAGACUCCUACGGGAGGCAGCAGUGGGGAAUCUUAGACAAUGGGGGCAACCCUGAUCUAGCCAUGCCGCGUGAGUGAUGAAGGCCUUAGGGUUGUAAAGCUCUUUCAGCUGGGAAGAUAAUGACGGUACCAGCAGAAGAAGCCCCGGCUAACUCCGUG
rnacentral:rRNA from 1 species